rnacentral:rRNA from 1 species
GACGAACGCUGGCGGCGUGCCUAAUACAUGCAAGUCGAACGCUUCUUUCCUCCCGAGUGCUUGCACUCCAUUGGAAAGAGGAGUGGCGGACGGGUGAGUAACACGUGGGUAACCUACCCAUCAGAGGGGGAUAACACUUGGAAACAGGUGCUAAUACCGCAUAACAGUUUAUGCCGCAUGGCAUAAGAGUGAAAGGCGCUUUCGGGUGUCGCUGAUGGAUGGACCCGCGGUGCAUUAGCUAGUUGGUGAGGUAACGGCUCACCAAGGCCACGAUGCAUAGCCGACCUGAGAGGGUGAUCGGCCACACUGGGACUGAGACACGGCCCAGACUCCUACGGGAGGCAGCAGUAGGGAAUCUUCGGCAAUGGACGAAAGUCUGACCGAGCAACGCCGCGUGAGUGAAGAAGGUUUUCGGAUCGUAAAACUCUGUUGUUAGAGAAGAACAAGGACGUUAGUAACUGAACGUCCCCUGACGGUAUCUAACCAGAAAGCCACGGCUAACUACGU